CGCAGCCCAGUCAAAUUCGGUCCCUGUCCCUCAGUGUCGGGGACCGGCCACCGGCUGCCACAGCGACCCGCGGUGCUCCCGUGUCCCUGUCCCCUCUGUCCCCUCGGGUGGGACAGGGGAGGCGGAUCCCGCGGACACAC
rnacentral:snoRNA from 1 species